rnacentral:rRNA from 1 species
ACGGCGGACGGGUGAGUAAUGCUUAGGAAUCUGCCUAUUAGUGGGGGACAACAAUCCGAAAGGAAUGCUAAUACCGCAUACGCCCUACGGGGGAAAGCAGGGGAUCUUCGGACCUUGCGCUAAUAGAUGAGCCUAAGUCAGAUUAGCUAGUUGGUGGGGUAAAGGCCUACCAAGGCGACGAUCUGUAGCGGGUCUGAGAGGAUGAUCCGCCACACUGGGACUGAGACACGGCCCAGACUCCUACGGGAGGCAGCAGUGGGGAAUAUUGGACAAUGGGCGCAAGCCUGAUCCAGCCAUGCCGCGUGUGUGAAGAAGGCCUUUUGGUUGUAAAGCACUUUAAGCGAGGAGGAGGCUACUUGGAUUAAUACUCUUGGAUAGUGGACGUUACUCGCAGAAUAAGCACCGGCUAACUCUGUGCCAGCAGCCGCGGUAAUACAGAGGGUGCGAGCGUUAAUCGGAUUUACUGGGCGUAAAGCGUGCGUAGGCGGCUUUUUAAGUCGGAUGUGAAAUCCCUGAGCUUAACUUAGGAAUUGCAUUCGAUACUGGGAAGCUAGAGUAUGGGAGAGGAUGGUAGAAUUCCAGGUGUAGCGGUGAAAUGCGUAGAGAUCUGGAGGAAUACCGAUGGCGAAGGCAGCCAUC